rnacentral:snoRNA from 1 species
UUCUUUGAUGAAUGGCACUGGGCGCCGACAGUCACAAAUGAUUGGUCUUGAUGGAAAUGCCUUAUUGCGGCAGGCCUAGAAAACCUCGCCCACUGAUU